GACGAACGCUGGCGGCGUGCUUAACACAUGCAAGUCGAACGGAAAGGCCCUGCUUUUGUUGGGUGCUCGAGUGGCGAACGGGUGAGUAACACGUGAGUAACCUGCCCUUGACUUUGGGAUAACUUCAGGAAACUGGGGCUAAUAUCGGAUAUGAGCUCCUGCUGCAUGGUGGGGGUUGGAAAGUUUCGGCGGUUGGGGAUGGACUCGCGGCUUAUCAGCUUGUUGGUGGGGUAGUGGCUUACCAAGGCUUUGACGGGUAGCCGGCCUGGGAGGGUGACCGGCCACAUUGGGACUGAGAGACGGCCCAGACUGCUACGGGAGGCAGCAGGGGGGAAUCUUGCACAAUGGGCGGAAGCCUGAUGCAGCAACCCCGCGUGCGGGAUGACGGCCUUCGGGUUGUAAACCGCUUUCGCAUGUGACGAAGCGUGAGUGACGGUAAUGGGUAAAGAAGCACCGGCUAACUACGUG
rnacentral:rRNA from 1 species